rnacentral:lncRNA from 10 species
AGCUGGAGGAAGGGAGGUGCAGCUUUGGCUCAGCUCUUAACAGUGCAACAUCUAGUGCCUCUAUAGUUCUCUUGGACACAGAUGGCUGCUUUCGAAGAAGAAAGAAGUGGAAAGUGAUGGAGUUUCUAUGCUCCAGCUCUCUUUGCCUGCUGCCAUCCACGUAAGAUGUGACUUGCUCCUCUUUGCCUUCUGCCAUAAUUGUGAGCCCCCCUCAGCCAUGUGGAAUGAUGGAAAACAGAACAAGCCAUGGAGGCCCCAGGGAUCAGGCAGGGCCAAGAGGAUCUGAUGGCGGAAGGGGGAGCACAUCAACAAGACCUUACAAGGCAACUUGCAUGGAUGCUCUGAAGCAACUUUGAGGUCUCCUUGAUGAGGAAAGUUGGCUCAACCUGCUGUAGAGUAGGCCCACAGCCAAGCCAUUGAGAGACAAGUCCAUGGGAGACAAA